GCAUCUCCCUAGGGGAAAUAAAAGAAGGAAGAACAAGUCAUCAGCCGAGGACCUCAAAUGGCUGAAAAACAGAAUGUAUUUGGUGUCUGCUGUAUCUUUGCAUCCUUCAGUGAAACCUUUGUCCACAUCACUACUCUUUCUGGCAAGGAAACCCUCUGCUGAGUAACUAUUAUAAAGAUGAAGGUUGAUUGAGGUGAGUCCUCCCCGUAAGCCAUUAUGUGGCCCCAUAUGUGUAGGUAUUACUGCCCUACAUAUCAAACUCCAGGAUAGAGGAGGAAUCACGACCAAGACCUCUGGACCUGGAGCUCAAUCAGUCCUCAGGGUUCUCUCUCACUUAGGGAUGAAGAGUAGAGAUCCCCCUCUCCUUUGAUAGCACUGACAAGAAAGCGGGUCUCAGGCUAUAUGUCUG
rnacentral:lncRNA from 1 species